rnacentral:rRNA from 1 species
GACAAACGCUGGCGGCGUGCGUAAACAUGCAAGUCGCACGGGAGCUUCGGCUCCAGUGGCAGACGGCUGAGUAACGCGUAGGGAUCUACCGCCGGGUGGGAAGUAACGGCCCGAAAGGGUCGCUAAUACCGCAUACGACCACUCGCAAGAGUGAGGAAGGCCGUAAGGCGCCGGGCGAGGAACCUGCGUCCGAUUAGCUGGUUGGUGGGUAACGGCCGUACCAAGGCGACGAUCGGUAGCUGGUCGAGAGGAUGACCAGCCAGACUGGGACUGGGACA